CGUAAGGCGCCGAAUGAGUCAUUAAAAAUUAACAUCAUCCGAUCCCUAGUCGGCAUAGUUUAUGGUUAAGGCUACGACGGUAUCUGAUCGUCUUCGAUCCCCUAACUUUCGUUCUUGAUUAAUGAAAACAUCCUUGGCAAAUGCUUUUCGCAGUAGUUAGUCUUCAAUAAAUCCAAGAAUUUCACCUCUGACAAUUGAAUACUAAUGCCCCCAACUAUCCCUAUUAAUCAUUACGUCGAUCCUAGAAGCCAACAAAUAGAAUCAAACGUCCUAUUUCAUUAUUCCAUGCUAAUGUAUUCAAGCGUGAGCCUGCUUUAAACACUCUAAUUUUUCAAAGUAACAGUCCUGAUUCCCAAGACACCAAAUUAUGACAUCAA
rnacentral:rRNA from 1 species